AAUCAACGCUGGCGGCGUGCCUAACACAUGCAAGUCGAACGCGAAAGCCCCGCAAGGGGUCAGUAGAGUGGCCAACGGGUGAGUAACACGUGGGUGACCUGCCUUCGAGUGGGGGAUAACGUCCCGAAAGGGACGCUAAUACCGCAUGACAUCCUGCUUUUGAAAAAGCGGAGAUCAAAGCUGGGGAUCGCAAGACCUAGCGCUUGAAGAGGGGCCCGCGCCUGAUUAGCUAGUUGGUGAGGUAACGGCUCACCAAGGCGACGAUCAGUAUCCGGCCUGAGAGGGCGGACGGACACACUGGGACUGAGACACGGCCCAGACUCCUACGGGAGGCAGCAGUGGGGAAUUGUUCGCAAUGGGCGCAAGCCUGACGACGCAACGCCGCGUGGAGGACGAAGAUCUUCGGGUCGUAAACUCCUGUCGAGCGGGACGAACGCUUCGCGGAUGAAUAAUCCGCGGAAUUGACGGUACCGCUAAAGGAAGCCCCGGCUAACUCCGUG
rnacentral:rRNA from 1 species